rnacentral:tRNA from 1 species
GAGGGCAUAGCUCAGUGGUAGAGUGCAUGCCUAGCACGCACGAGGUCCUGGGUUCGAUCCUCGGUACCUCUG